rnacentral:tRNA from 1 species
AAACGCGUCGACGAAGGCCUCGUGCGCCCAGUGUCCCUUGCGCGGACGCUCGAAUUCCCAAUGCGCGUUCCAGCGACCCGGCACGUUUAC